rnacentral:rRNA from 1 species
UACGUAGGGGGCAAGCGUUGUCCGGAAUCAUUGGGCGUAAAGGGCGUGUAGGCGGCCAGGUAAGUCGGUUCUGAAAGCCCGGGGCUCAACCCCGGGAGGCGGAUGGAUACUGUUUGGCUCGAGUCCGGAAGAGGCGAGUGGAAUUCCCGGUGUAGCGGUGAAAUGCGCAGAUAUCGGGAGGAACACCAAUGGCGAAGGCAGCGCGCUGGGACGGUACUGACGCUGAGACGCGAAAGCGUGGGGAGCAAACAGG